AGAGAAUUCAGCUUAGGCUAGUUAACUCUACAUUAUAUGGUUUUGUUUUGAAUUUCAAAAUUUUGUGCAGGCAAUGCGAUGUACUCAAGGUUCUUUAAAGCCAAUAUUCAUAUCUAUUGGACAUCGCAUAUCUCUCGAUGCAUCUGUCAAGUUUGUUAAAAUGUGUUGUAACUACUGUGUACCAGAGCCAAUCCGGCAAGUAAAGUUUAUUGCUUUCUUUUGUGCUCACAUAACACAUGAGUCUGUCUUAUUUCAGUUUGGACUUUUUCAAAUUUUAGUUUAGUGAUUUGCUUAUUUUAAUCGCUUCAUUUAAUGUGGAAUUUGAGGAUUUGAUUUUCCAGGAGGCAUAUGAAGUAGCCAAAACUCUUCCUAAAGACGGAGUGACUAGAGCAUCAGUCAUUGACUGCUCUUAGUAUUCAAAAGGACACUGAUUCUGAGGAGGAACUGAAGGAGGUUUUCAAGAUCUUUGACAAGGAUCAAAAUGGUUACAUUUCUGCUGCAGAGGUUGUUGCUGUAGAGGGGGGAGCUUUGGGUGGUAUGGUCAGGCAGCUUUCAUUGAUCAGUUUGAAAAUUAAGGCCGGUGGGUUAGCUAUGGUACUCCAGAGAAUGCAACUAUAGAUAACUUUUUUAUUAGUAUUAUGCUUUUAUGAAUGGAUAACUUUUUUUUUAAUUGGUAUUGUACUAAUGGAUUAAAAUAAAUGAUUGUAUUUGAUUGAUUGAAUGAAUGAUUAUG